GUCUCUUAUUGAGCUGUGGGAUUUUUAUUCAGCUUUAUGAUCACUUCAAACAGUGUUCCUGGAGAGCACAGAAAUACUUUGCUGAAUCCUCCAGCUAUAAGGUUGAAAUGGUGAAGUUGAUGGAUUUAGCUGAUUUCUGGAAGUUUGUAGAAUAGCAACCAUUCUUUGUGUUCUUGCCAAAAGAACUCUGAUGAACAAGGAGAGUGAUCUCUCCACUGGGAGGCUGCAUGUACCAAAAAAUAUAUCAUGUGCUCUGCAUUGUUUCAUACAGACAGAUCAAGGGUAACUGGGCUGCUGAACCUGUUACAUGGAUGUGGCCAGCUGGACAUGAGUAACACCCUGGGCCACACUGGAUCGUGAGGGAAACAUCCGAAAACAGAGCUGAUGUGAAGCUGCGUUGCCCGCAAGAGAAGCCACAAAGUCCACGGCAACGGUUCACGCCACUCACGGGGCAGCAAAGCUCUACCCCAGGCAUGACAGACUGAGAAUACUGGGCCCCUGUUGCACUCACCCCAGCUCCCUCAUUGAGUGGUGCUUCCAUGCUGGGAAAGCUGGAACAUCCAUCUUUUUCUGCUGUCAGACCAUGGAGAUCCUGGUUCUCGGGCCUUUGGACAUGGAGGGAAUUAUACCACUGGCUUUCUUGGUCUUCCAGCUUGAGAUGGCAGACUGGGGCUUCUUGGCCUCUCUAAUGGAAUAACAGGUGGACAGAGUGAGAUGAGAAUACCAGCACGAAGCAGUUGAAGAAAUAUGUCCUGGAGAAUGUUGGAUGAGAAGGAAGAGAAAAUAGCAAAUGAGACAGAAGACUAUGAAGGAACUGAAGGAACAGAUGUUAUUAAAGAACAGAUUUGGUGAGAGUAACUACAUGAGGACAAUCAAAACAGAUAAUUGUCAUCUGAGAAGGUAGGGCUUCAGAAAUGGAAAAGUUCUGGUUAAUGACUAGUGGCAUGGCUAGCUUAUUUGACAUCUGGAUCAAAUAAAGUUUAAGACUCUUUUUCACUAUACACAAAAAUGUUUCAUAAUUAUCAUGGUAUAUUUAGGAAAAGACAUUUUCUUGGUGCAUUCUUUAGUUUUUAAUGUAAAUAAUUAACAACUUAAUAAAGAAGAUAUUUCAGUGUUUAGAAUAUUAUUCAAAUUCAAUAAAUCAUUUAUUUAUGACUUAAAUUGGCACUUAAAAAUAUUACCCCUUCUGGGGCACCUCAGUGGCUCAGUCAGUUAAGCAUCCGACUCUUGAUUUUGGUUCAGGUCAUGAUCUCAUGGUUCCUGGGAUC